rnacentral:rRNA from 1 species
GACGAACGCUGGCGGCGUGCCUAACACAUGCAAGUCGAACGGAGAAUUAGCAAUAAUUCUUAGUGGCGAACGGGUGAGUAACGCGUAGACAACCUACCCUUUAGAUGGGGACAACACCGCGAAAGUGGUGCUAAUACCGAAUAUUGUUUGAGAAGCGCAUGCUUCUCAAACUAAAGAUGGCCUCUAUAUAUAAGCUAUCGCUAAAGAAUGGGUCUGCGUCUGAUUAGCUAGUUGGUGAGAUAAAAGCUCACCAAGGCAAUGAUCAGUAGCCGGUCUGAGAGGAUGAACGGCCACACUGGGACUGAGACACGGCCCAGACUCCUACGGGAGGCAGCAGUGGGGAAUCUUCCGCAAUGGACGAAAGUCUGACGAGCAACGCCGCGUGAGUGAUGAAGGUUUUCGGAUCGUAAAACUCUGUUGUUAAGGACGAAUGUAUAGAUUGUGAAUAAUGGUUUAUAAUGACGGUACUUAACGAGGAAGCCACGGCUAACUACGUGCCAGCCGCCGCGGUAA